GGUUGUGAAGGAGAUCUGGCUGUGACAUCUGUUACCUCAUUGAUUGCCAGGGUUGAGUUGCCGAUCUGGCCAGUUAAGCCAGUGUCCUCUUCCUCCUUCUCUUCUCCAUGGGCAUCUCUCCCAAAGCUGUGAUCUUUGGUCAAAGAAGAUGACCUUCUUCGAUAGAUGAGGACCCUUCUUUGGUCAAGGUUGUAAGAGCUGGUGCAUUCCCCUGCUAGAACCUCCACACAAGCUCUCAUUGGUAAGAGGUUAGCUAUAAUUCUUAGCUCCUCUGGAAAUCUAAGAUU
ensembl:misc_RNA 7SK 7SK RNA